GACGAACGCUGGCGGCGUGCCUAAUACAUGCAAGUCGAACGAGAGCGACCGGUGCUUGCACUGGUCAAUCUAGUGGCGAACGGGUGAGUAACACGUGGGUAACCUGCCCAUCAGAGGGGGAUAACAUCCGGAAACGGAUGCUAAAACCGCAUAGGUCUUCGAGCCGCAUGGCUUGAAGAGGAAAAGAGGCGCAAGCUUCUGCUGAUGGAUGGACCCGCGGUGCAUUAGCUAGUUGGUGAGGUAACGGCUCACCAAGGCCGUGAUGCAUAGCCGACCUGAGAGGGUGAUCGGCCACAUUGGGACUGAGACACGGCCCAAACUCCUACGGGAGGCAGCAGUAGGGAAUCUUCCGCAAUGGACGCAAGUCUGACGGAGCAACGCCGCGUGAGUGAAGAAGGUUUUCGGAUCGUAAAACCCUGUUGUUAGAGAAGAACAAGUGCUAGAGUAACUGUUAGCGCCUUGACGGUAGCUAACCAGAAAGCCACGGCUAACUACGUG
rnacentral:rRNA from 1 species